rnacentral:misc_RNA from 1 species
GAUGAAGAACGUAGCGAAAUGCGAUAAGUAGUGUGAAUUGCAGAAUUAAGUGAAUCAUCGAAUCUUUGAACGCACAUUGCGCCCGCCAGUAUUCUGGCGGGCAUGCCUGUUCGAGCGUCAUUACAACCCUCAGGCCCCCGGGCCUGGCGUUGGGGAUCGGCGGAGCCCCCCGUGGGCACACGCCGUCCCCCAAAUGCAGUGGCGGUCCCGCCGCAGCUUCCAUCGCGUAGUAGCUAACACCUCGCGACUGGAGAGCGGCGCGGCCACGCCGAAAAACACCCAACUCUUCUGAAGUUGACCUCGAAUCAGGUAGGAAUACCCGCUGAACUUAAGCAUAUCAAUAAGCGGAGGA